rnacentral:rRNA from 1 species
CUGACGGACCACCGGUUGCGAAAGCGCCUCUGGAGAACGGACCCGACGGUGAGGGACGAAAGCUAGGGUCUCGAACCGGAUUAGAUACCCGGGUAGUCCUAGCUGUAAACGAUGCUCGCUAGGUGCGGCGCAGGCUACGAGCUUGCGCUGUGCCGUAGGGAAGCCGAGAAGCGAGCCGCCUGGGAAGUACGUCCGCAAGGAUGAAACUUAAAGGAAUUGGCGGGGGAGCACUACAACCGGAGGAGCCUGCGGUUUAAUUGGACUCAACGCCGGACAUCUCACCGGCACCGACAGUGUGCAGUGACGGUCAGUAUGAUGAGCUUACCUGAGUCACUGAGAGGAGGUGCAUGGCCGCCGUCAGCUCGUACCGUGAGGCGUCCUGUUAAGUCAGGCAACGAGCGAGACCCGCAUCCCUAAUUGCCAGCAGCAGCCUUGUGCUGGCUGGGUACAUUAGGGAGACUGCCGUGGCCAACACGGAGGAAGGAACGGGCAACGGUAGGUCAGUAUGCCCCGAAUGUGCCGGGCGACACGCGGGCUACAAUGGCCGAGACAGUGGGACGCCACCCCGAGAGGGGGCGCUAAUCUCCUAAACUCGGUCGUAGUUCGGAUUGCGGGUUGAACUCACCCGCAUGAAGCUGGAUUCGGUAGUAAUCGCGUCUC